CUGAACCCUAGCGAAGUAAAUC
rnacentral:miRNA from 1 species